rnacentral:rRNA from 1 species
GAUGAACGCUGGCGGCGUGCCUAAUACAUGCAAGUCGAACGCUGGAGAUCUAGCUUGCUAGAUCGAAGGAGUGGCGAACGGGUGAGUAAUACAUAAGCAACCUACCCACGAAGACUGGGAUAAUCUCUGGAAACGGGGACUAAUACCGGAUAGGUAAUCGGAAGGCAUCUUCUGGUUAUUAAAGGUUAAAAACACUGGUGGAUGGGCUUAUGGCGCAUUAGUUAGUUGGUGAGGUAACGGCCCACCAAGACGAUGAUGCGUAGCCGGCCUGAGAGGGUGAACGGCCACAUUGGGACUGAGACACGGCCCAGACUCCUACGGGAGGCAGCAGUAGGGAAUUUUCGGCAAUGGGGGCAACCCUGACCGAGCAACGCCGCGUGAGUGAAGACGGCCUUCGGGUGGUAAAGCUCUGUUGUAAGGGAAGAACGGUAGAUAGAGAAGAUCUAAGGGACGGUACCUUACCAGAAAGCCACGGCUAACUACGU